UAGGGUUAGGUUUAGUGUUAGGGUUAGGGUUAGGGGUUAGGGUUAGGGUUAGGGUUAGGGUUAGGGUUAGGAUUAGUGUUACGGUGUGGGUGAGGGUGAGGGUGAGUGUGAGAAUGAGUGUGAGGGUUAGUGUUAGGUUUAGGGUUAGUUUUAGGGUUAGGGUUAGGGUUUAGGGUUAGUGUUAGGGUUAGGGUUAGGGGUUAGGGUUAGGGUUAGUGUUAGGGUUAAUGUUAGAGAUAGAGUUACUAUGAGGGUGAGGGUGAGGUUUAUGGUGAGAAUGAGGGUGAGGGUGAGGUUUAGUUUUAAGGUUAGGGUUAGAGUUUAGGGUUAGGGUUAGGGAGAGGGUUAGAAUUAGGGUUAGGGUUAGGGUUAAGGUUAGGGUGAGGGUGACUGUGAGGGUGAGGGUAAGAAUGAGUGUGAGGGUUACGGUAGUGUUAGGGUUAGGGUUGAGGUUUAGGGUUAGGGUUAGGGUUAGUUUGAGGGUGAGGGUGAGGGUUAGGGUUAGGGUUAGGGUUAGUGUUACGGUGUGGGUGAGGGUGAGGGUGAGCAUUAGUGUUAAGGAUUAGUGUUAGGUUUAGUGUUAGUUUUAGGGUUAGGGUCAGGGUUAGGGUUUAGGGUUAGUGUUAGGGUUAGCGUUAGGCGUUAGGGUUAGGAUUAGGAUUAGAGUUAGAGUUACUUUGAGGAUGAGGGUGAGGUUUAGGUUGAGAAUGGGGGUGAUGGUUAGGGUUAGGUUUAGUGUUUAGGGUUAGGGUUAGGUUUAGGGUUAGGGGUUAGGGUUAGGGUUAGGGUUAGGGUUAGGGUUAGGGUUAGGGUUAGAGUUACUGUGAGGGUGAGGGUGAGGUUUACGGUGAGAAUGAGUGUGAGGGUGAGGGUUAGGGAUACUGUUUAGGGUUAGGGUUAGGGUUAGGGGUUAGCGUAUGGGUUAGAGUUAGGUUAGGGUUAGUGUUACGGGUUAGGGUUAGGGUUAGGGUUAGGGUUAGGGUUAGGGUUAGGGUGAGGGUGAGGUUGAGGGUAAGUGUUAGGGUUAGGGUUAGUGUUAGGGUUAGGGUUAGGAUUAGUGUUAUGGUGUUUGUGAGGGUGAGGGUGAGGGUGAGAAUGAGUGUGAGGGUUAGUGUUAGGUUUAGGGUUAGUUUUAGGGUUAGGGUUUAGGGUUAGUGUUAGGGUUAGGGUUAGGGGUUAGGGGUAGGGUUAGUGUUAGAGAUAGAGUUUCUAUGAGGGUGAGUGUGAGGUUUAUGGUGAGAAUGAGGGUGAGGGUGAGGUUUAGUGUUAGGGUUAGGGUUAGGGUUUAGGGUUAGGGUUAGUGAUAGGGUUAGACUUAGGGUUAGGGUUAGGUUUAGGGUUAGGGUUAGAGUUACUGUGAGGGUGAGGGUAAGGUUUAGGGUGAGAAUGAGGGUGAGGGUGAUUGUUAGGUUUAGGGAUAAUGUUUAGUGUUAGGGUUAGGGUUAGAAUAAGGGUUUGGGGUUAGUGUUAUGUUUAGGGGUAGGGUUAGGGUUAGGGUUAGCUUUACAGUUAGAGUUACUGUGAUGGUAAGGGUGAGGUUUAGGGUGAGAAUGAGGUUGAGGGUGAGUGUUAGGGUUAGGGUUUGUGUUUAGGGUUAGGGUUAGUGUUAGGGUUAGG